ensembl:lincRNA Gm5248 predicted gene 5248
GCGAAUAACAAUUUUUAUUUGUCCUGUUAUUUCUCCAGUUAGGGAAGUAAGUAGAAAGUAACAUUUAGUUGAAAUCAAAUAUCAAUAUAGUAUCAUUUCUUUGCCACACAUUAUCUUCUAAUAUAGUACAUAUUAUUAGUGCCAUAGAUAAUCAAGAGGGUAGGCUUCUGCAAAAUGUUAAUUGUAUUACAGAAAGAGAAAGAAAAAUGGGACUCAAGUGGGUAUCUUUUUAUAAUAUUGCCCAAUGAUUUCUCAUUUGGGAAAAUAUGAGCAUUGUGAUAAGAAAAUGGAUGGCAAAAAACCUAAGUUGAAAAGUAGACAGGCAUGGUGUUGGAGCAGUAGCUGAGAGCUUUACCCCUACGGUUCCCUGGCUAAGGCUAUGCCACAGUACAACUAGUAACGUUUCGAAAAAUACUAAACAACAGAUUUUUGCCAUCCAUUUUCUUAUCACAUGUUUUUUACUAUCCUUCUCCCCGCAUUCAGAGAAUCUUUAUUCCCUCCCACGGAGUUGUUGUUGCUGUUGUUGCUGCUGCUGCUGCUGCAGCUGCUGGUUCUGAUGCGGCUGCUGUUGUCAUUGUUUACAGUUGCUUUUUUUUUUCCCUCUAGAACAGUAAGAUCCACAUCGAGUUCAUUCAACAUCAUCAUGCUGGCCGGACUUACCUCUCAUGAGUAUUCUUUACCAUGCUCUGUUCCAGAAAAUAUCUAAGUUAACAGUAGAUCAUACUUUCUUGAUAGCCUCCUACUCAGUCAGCUCUGUCUUGGUCGUACAUACAAAUAACCCUUGUCAUCCCUCAAGAUUUGUCACGUCCAUUGUGAUGUCAAAUACACCCCUCAUUUAAUCUUCACAAAAUCUCCUGAAGGAGAUAUUAUUUCACUUCCAUUGUAUAGAAGCUUUCUGCUUUUGAUUUUAAAAGGAGUGGAGGAGAGGGAAGAUAUUUAGGAACACUUGUCUGGAUAAGAACUGGGCUAUGGAGCUUAUCUUUAGCUCCAAAGACAGGUUUCCUAAGCCCUAUGUAGUCUAUACUUUCCAUGCCUUUUUAUUAUGGUUGAUGAAUCAGUUUUCUUAGUUCUACUUCUUUUCUCCUUAAAGUCUCUCCAAAUAUGUCUAGAAUGUUGGGAAGGCUCCCCUAUGUUAACAUCUUCAAGAUCUGAGAAUUACUUCAGUUGGAAAACAUUGCUCUUUAUGUCUUUAAACAAGCAAGAAUUUGGUAUGUGAUACAUUCGCUCAGUUACUAAAUUCAGAGAGUAGUGUGUGAUGAAACUCCAAAAACACUCUGUAAUUCGUGUCAAGGCAUCUUGGGCUGGGGCUGAGUUUGCAGACAACUUAAGAUAUUUAUAAAUGUUAUUUGUCAGAAAACACUGCCCUCAGCAAGGUAUAAAAUGUUACCAGUGUUUCUAAUUCUUAGAAGGACUGUCUCCGUCAGAGCUGAAAUGCCAUACUUGACAUAGUACAAAGUGGUAACAGCUUGGAGUCUGAGGAAAACUAGGUACAAUUAUAUCUAAGAUUUUUCUUCUAAUACUGGCCAAAAGAAGAGUGCCAUGUAAGGAUGAAAGCACCUCUCUCUCUCUCUCUCUCUCUCUCUCUCUCUCUCUCUCUCUCACACACACACACACACAUACACACACACACACACACACACACACACCACAUACUACUCACCCCAGAAAGAGACCCUACACCAAGCAAAAGUAGCAAGUCAUGGUGGUGGGAGGCCUAUGGCUGGAGCUCCUGAUGGCCAAGGUAUGGCAAGUAUCAUUGUUAUCCUGAAUGUUCUUCAUAAAACAAAUAGAAUGAAAGGUCAUAACACAAAUGUAGCCAUGCCACGGUCUUUGGGUGCCACCUUGAACCCAUUUCUCCUAUUUUUCCACAUACCACUCUUUGAAUCCUAUCUGGUCUCUUCCCGGAAUGUCUCUUGGAUCUACUGUUCCUGUACAGGCCCACCACCAUCAUCAUAAUCCAGAUCAGUCUCUUUCACCUGGAUUACCAAACCCUCUGUAGGUUCCUCAAGUUUCUCCGCCUCUAGACUUGCUGCUUCCAGUCCUCUCUCCACUGUGUAGCUGGAAGUAUCUUCCUAAAAGUUCCUAUUUCAAUAUAACCAGGACAUAUUCAACAGUUCUACUUACUGUUCAGUGGUUCCCAUAGCAUUUAAAUUAAAAACGAGUUUUCUUCACAUGCUGUCAGACAGAAACCUUUCCAAUCUUCUAUCAACAUCUAACUUCACCUUCUCAAAAUAACUUAAGGGUGGGGAAUAGGUACAUAGGACUUCAUUCCUUAGUGCUGAAUUACAGGCUACUGAUGGACUCUGUGAGAGGAGGAAGCAAACACUGUCUCCAGUUGUGUAUCUGCUGAGGAUUAGCUGGGAAGAGGGGACAUUAUACAUGGGAGAAAAGCAGGUGAGAGAAAGUAGAGGUAAGGUCAAUCAGAAUGCAUUGCACACAAGCAUAAAAUUGUCAAAAUAACAAACUUAAUUUUUAAAAGUGUUUUUUAAAAGUCUGUUACUUCAAAUUGGGGUGCUGCUUUUAGUCGCGUGGCCUUUGGAAGCCCCCACUGCUGCCUCUUCCUGUCCUCUCCAUGUCCUUCACUCAGUCCAAGUCUGGCAUGGGUGUGAUUACUUUUCCUCCUGAAGAAAGAUUAUUUCAAGUGGAAUAUGCCAUUGAGGCUACCAAGCUUGGUUCUAUGGCCAUUGGCAUCUAGACAUCCGAGGGUAUGUGUCUAGUUGUGGAGAAGAGAAUCACCUCUCUGCUAAUGGAGCCUAGCAGCAUUGAGAAAAUUGUGGAGAUUGAUGCUCAUAUAGGUUGUGCCAUGAAUGGGAUAGUUGCUGAUGCUAAAACUUUAACUGAUAAAGCCAGAGUGGAGACACAGAACCCCGGGUUCACCUAUAAUGAGACAAUGACAGUUGAGAGCAUGACCCAGGCUGUGUCCAAUCUGGCUUUGCAGUUUGGAGAAGAAGAUGCAGAUACAGGUGCCAUGUCUCGUCCCUUUGGAGUCGCAUUGUUGUUUGGAGGAGCUAAUGAGAAAGGAACCCAACUGUUUCACAUGGACCCAUCUGGGACCUUUAGUACAGUAUGAUGCUCAAGCAAUUGGCUCUGCUUCAGAGGGUGCCCAGAGCUCCUUGCAAGAAGUCUAUGACUCUGAAGGAGGCCAUCAAGUCUUCACUCAUCAUCAUCCGCAAGCAAGUCGUGAAGGAGAAGCCGAACACAACUAGCAUCAUCUAGCUAGCCACAAUGCAGUCUGCUCAGAGUUUCCAUGUGUUCACAAAGGGAGUACUAGAGAUGAUCAAGGACAUUUAAGGAGAAACCAUCUUUGGACUUCUGUGGGACAGUUUUGGUUCUAAUGGCCCUUAGACUUUAUUUCCAGCUCUUAUGUUGUGGAAAAUAUUCUGUACAUGUGUUGAUGAUGUCUGUACAUAACACCAAUUCGGAAAUAAAAAGACUUAAAAAAUAAAAAAAAGAGACUGUGGCUUCUAUAGUCCCCUUUCUCUCCCACCCACUCACCUGCCUGUCACACUAAUCUCCUUUUAGAUUAAUGAAUAUGCCCUGCUGUCUGUCAUCACAAGGUCACCCCUAAAGUAAACACUUCAUUCCAUUUUUUCCACUCAUAUGUUUUGGUUUUCCGUUGUAUCGAUCUCACAAUGGAGGAAACUUCCUCAAAUCCCUAACCCAGAGUUAAAUGUUUUUUUUUUUCCUGUGUGUUUCCAUGGUAACCCACACUUCCUAUGUAUGGCCACAACCAAUUCACCCUCUGUUCUUCUGCUAUAGGCUGUGUUCUGUAAAAUUCCAGCUUAUUUGAGCUGUAGACUUAUAUCUGCCUUCUAUGACAGUCAAGGUCCUAAAUAGCUAUUGCACCGAGACAGAAAUCUUUCCAAUCUUGUAUCAGCAUCUAACCUUACUUUCUCAAAAUAAUUCCCUGCUUCUCAUUAUCUUUCCAAAGGUGAGUGUUUUCAAUAGGAAUAUUAACAUGGUCACUGUGAAAUGUCCCCACCACAGCUAAAGGAGAGCAGGGAGGAAACACGUUUGCUCUACUCUCGUGCUUCUUCCCAGAGUUUCC